rnacentral:rRNA from 1 species
UACGAGGGGAGCUAGCGUUGUUCGGAAUUACUGGGCGUAAAGCGCACGUAGGCGGUUUUUUAAGUCAGAGGUGAAAGCCCGGGGCUCAACCCCGGAAUAGCCUUUGAAACUGGAAAACUUGAAUCAUGGAGAGGUCAGUGGAAUUCCGAGUGUAGAGGUGAAAUUCGUAGAUAUUCGGAAGAACACCAGUGGCGAAGGCGACUGACUGGACAUGUAUUGACGCUGAGGUGCGAAAGCGUGGGGAGCAAACAGG